AGAGGCUCCACCGCCGUUGGAGCGGCGCGAAUCGCCUUGCCCUCGCCGGGGCCGGAAGCGGAGCCGCGCCGGCGCGGGGACAGCCCACCGCCGCGGGGAGGGGUGCAGCCACCGCCCCCCGCCCGAUCCGGCGCCCCCAGAGGCGGGCGGCCAUCGCCCGCCAGCCCGCAGCUUGUCGCGCAGGUCUAGUCCGCCGCCAUGCCGGGGCCUGUACCUGCGCUGGAAGUCCCGCUCGAAGGGGGCCAGGCAACAUCCAGGCUUGUCAUUUUCCAAUUGUCCAUUCAUUCCAUCAGGACAGUAGGCCUUCCCCAAUGAUCAAAUUGUAAUUUGAAGUCUGUAAAGGUGAAGUGUAAGCCUUUUUGGCUGCAGCUGAGAGGUAUGAAUAGCCUUUUUCCUUAUGUCAGUCUUCAGUUAGCAAUCCAGUAGAGGCCUUGUUGGAGAUGCUCUUCCAGUAUAUUGAAUCUUUUCCAGUUUCCUCACUAUAUGUUUGUGCUAAGUUCAGCUGCUUUCUUACUACACUAUUUCUUACCACUGCAUAUAUGCUUUGCUGCUGCAUCUUACCUUGUCAUAUCCCUUUUGCCAUGUUUCCCUAAGAAGAAUGUUUGAGUGUAAAUACUGAUAAAAAUAACAGUGUUACAGCUUCUGAGUCAUCUGCUCACUUUGGUAUUUUUGAUUUUGCUGUUUAUUAUCUAUGAUGGCUGACAUCGCUUCUCCCCUCAUAUAUGCAGCUAGCUCAUUCCAUGUUGUUCUGGUAUCUGCAGGCCCUAAAACUGUCUGCACUCCAGGCCAUCCCUAUAGCUAUUUAAAUACAUCUGUGUAUUUAAACAUUCAAGGCUUGUUAAUUUCUACUGUGCUGCCAUGCACAAAACACUAAACAGAGCCUGACAACUUUUUCUGCUUCUAAUAUGUCUCUGCUUUCUUUUGGCUUAUGACCAUCAUAGUGGUAUAAUCAUUCAAAUUCUGGUCUUCCUUCUUAAAUCCAGACAGUGUUAUGCAUCCACUCAUAAUAAUCAGUUUCUAGAUCUUUUGAAAGAAUCUAGAAAGAAUUUUGAAAGAAUUUGAAAGAGCCCAAAGAUUUAGUCCCUGCUUAAUACCAUUUCCUCACCUCAUCUAUUUCUUCCAAAAAAAAUAAAAAUGGAUAGAUUUCCUAGGAGCAGAGUGGGAAUGUCCAGCAGGGGACUGGGUUUGUUUUUGUCCUACCUAAGAAUCACAGAAUUAUAGAAUCAUUAAGAUUGGAAAAGGAAACUAAGAUCAUCUAGUCCAACAGUCAACCCAACACCACCGUGCCUUCUGAACCAUGUCCUCAGAGCCUUGGUUCCCCUGUCAAUGGUCUUGUCCUUCACUAAUCAGCUAUAAGAGAAACAAAGUCUCUGUUCAGCUGAUUCACAGGAAGGGAGCAGACACAAAGAUCUCUGAUCACCUAGGGCUAUGAUCAGAGGCUUUUAAAGCAAUCUUUGGGCCUCCAUCCAGUGUCCACCUAGUGUCAGUUUGCCAGACUGCCACAUUUUCUUUCUCAGAUUUUCAGCAGCUGGCAUCCACCACAAAGACUGCUGCCUAUCUACAAGAGAUUAGUACACUGUAAAUGAGAAAUGCUUCAAAAAGUCUUCCAUGCCUUUGUCCUCCUCUAUUAAAACUUAGUCUCACAGACCACAUUGAGAUCAUCUACUGUUAUUUUUCUGUUAGUCUUUGUCUGGCUCUUUAACCUUUGCUGUUAAAGCAUUGGUUUAUGCAAAUAGAGAGAUUUCUUCAUUGAUAAGAUUGUUAUCCAAAUUAUUAGUAAUCUUUGUUUUUUCCCUCUUUCCCUGUUUCAGCUGCACAUUUAAAAUACUGAAAUGCUCAUACAGUUCACAAAUUCUCUAUUGCUUCUUGGCCUGUGCAAUCCUUCAGCUGUCUCCUCAGUAACUCUUAUGUUGUCUUCUGUUUCAACACAUGCACAAGAAAAACUCACAAAGGAUUCCAUCCUGGGAGCUGAGUCAUUCUCUAAAUCAAGAACUGUCAUUCUCUGUACAUAAAAUAUUCCUCUGCAGAGCUUAAGGGCAAGUAUUACAUAUAUGAUUUUAUGUUGAUUUUUUUUUUUUUUUUGCUUUUCUUACAUUAAAUUACUUGCUUAUCUGACUCAAAAUACCACAUUAUUUAGCUGUACACGCCAAAAUUUUCUUUGCAUUCAUAUAAUUACAUAAUGUGUUACAUAAUGCCAAAAUGUUAGUCAUUCUUGUGUUCUACUUACUUAUUUGAUAGUCAUUUCAAAAAAUGCACUCACAUUUUCACUGGUUUUGUAUUUACACCUAAUUCCCUUGAACUUUAACUACUUUCCUCCUAUCUGGGAAACCUCCAGUCCUUGAGGAACAUGAUCUGUACAAUCAGAUUGUUAGUCCAGUCACAUCUCUAAAAGACAGUCAUGGUGAAUCGCAAUCUAGCUUUAGUCAUCUGAGAUAGCUAACAUUUAAAAGAGCUGACUAACAGUGACAUGUAUUAGACAUGGAAAAAAACAAGACUGACUAUUUAUUUCUUACCCUUUUCCUAGCACUAUAAAGUACCUUACACAUUCUUUGUGUUUUUAAGUAAACAUUUUAAAUUAAAAAAAAAACUAAAUCUUAUGUCUGUGAUUGCCAAAAAUAAAUGCUUUAGUAGGUUGAAACCACUCUAGCACUAUAAGUUAUUAACAUUAUGCUUUUCCCUGUUUAUGUCCAAAUUGAUGUGUGGGUUACAGCACUGAAUGAGAUUUAUACAAAGAUUUCUGAACACCUCUGUCUUGAGUUUUAUUAUACUGCGUGAAAUAAAACUCUUCAGCUGAUUUCUCCAGCAUAAUUCUUUUCAUGCGUUAAAAAUUGUCAUGUUAGCUCUGUUUUUAUAAAUAAUGCCUUUAUUAAAUUUGUAAUCUUCUAGCCUACUACCUUUUUAUUCCCUUUUCUUUACUUGCUCACAUACUUAUCACUUUUUCUUUCAAUGUGUUUUGUUUUGUCCUUUUAACUCUUUGUUUUACAGUAAGUCUUAUUGCGCUGCUUUCCUUCAGGAAUUUAUAUCUGCAUAGAAGAAAAUUGAGCCUCAUGCCAAUAGAUGAGAUAGACUUUAUGGCUUCUCCAUGAUCACACCACAUAUUGGUAAAAGCAUGGAACUGUGAAAUAUGAGAUGCAAAUGUCAAAAUAUUUCUUUGUUUUUGUAAGGAGUUGCACAAGGAGUCAUUCCUUUUCUGUACAACAAAGUAUGGGUAUUCAUAACUGUAAAAAAAGCCACGCUACCAAGAAUAGAAAAAAUAAAUGCCAUUUGUUGUUUGUUGUUUUGUUUUUCUAAUUUCCUUUCUGUAGAAUGUAGCAUCAAUAUUCUCAAAAAUAAUAAUAAAAAAAACCCUCUAAAAAAACUAUCAUAUUGUCUAUUGUUUUUCUUAAAUCUAUAAAUGUUUUGCAGGUCUUAAGUCAGUUGUCUUGCUCCAGUUUUUGAUCUUUGGAAUAAACUUAUUAUUAGUAGCAUAUUAUUAUAGAUUAACUUAUUUUGGCUUUUAGUAUUUGUCCUGUUGUUCACAUGAUUUCAUUUGUAUGUUGGGAACCAAUUUUUUGUAAACAUCAAGAGUUCUUUCAACACUGACACAAUUGCAAGGAAUUUGAGGUAGGUUCUGUCGUACUUCUAUAAUAAAUUAUUAUAUAACAAGUUGAGUAGCUACAGAAAAAAAGGCCUUUUUAUAAGUUGGAAAAUGGGUACACUGCACAUUUCAGGUUAAUAAAAUUUAUAUGCUGUUUUGAGUGCAAGUUUGCAUAUUAACCAAAAGGGGGUUGAUUAGUUUUUUUCCUUUUAUUCUUUUCAAAAUGUUUUUUUUUUUGUAUAUUAGCAAAUAUCCAUUAGUAAAAAGUAUAAAAUGUUCUCUGAUAACUUUCUAUUAGAAUCAUAGAAUCAUAGAAUGGCCUGGUUGAAAAGGACCACAAUGAUCAUCCAGUUUCAACCCCCAUGCUAUGUGCAGGGUCACCAACCACAACACCAGGCUGCCCAGAGCCACAUCCAGCCUGGCCUUGAAUGCCUCCAGGGCAUGCCUCCACAACCUCCUUGGGCAACCUGUUCCAGUGCGUCACCACCCUCUGUGUGAAAAACUUCCUCCUAAUAUCUAACCUAAACCUCCCUUGUCUCAGUUUAAAACCGUUAUGUUAGAGAAGAUUCAGCAAAGGCUUAAAUUUCUUUUGUCUUACACUGUAAACCUGGAUAGUGAAGAAAAUAAAAUUGUCAAGAAUAUGGUAUCUGCUUGUAAAUAAAAUACUGUCAUUCACAGUUAGACAUAAAUAUGCAGAGGCUAUAGCUGUGAGAGCUAUUUAAAAAUCAGAAGUCAGAAUGCAGUCAUGUUCGGAGGAGUAACACAUAAAAAGUUAUCCCUCAAGAACAUUCCCUUCUAAAGUGUAACCAAAUAAAUAGAAUUAUUUCAUGUAGUGCUGUAUAAUUGAGAUGACUUAGAAUUCCCCCUCUUAUAACACUUUUGAUCUAGCUGUUAGGUGUGACAGGGUAAGGUUAAUUCUCCUUCUCCUAUCACAGGUUAGGAAAGACUUAGUUCUAAGAAUUAAAGGCUCAUUAAAGGAGGAUGGCGAGACUUCUUUUCCAGUGUACACAUUAAUUACCGUAACACUCAGUGAAUUUAUGUUUGCUGACAAAAUGACAUACCUUGUUUACAUAUCAGUGGAAAAAAAAAAAUUGAGUUUCUGGCUGAUUGAAACUGUCACUUUCCUCAAGUAACUACUCUAAUGAAGUAAAACCAAGGAAAACAGAGCAAGAUUUUGUAAAAACAUAUACUUCUUCUAUAAGCAAAACAGCACCUGUUUCUUUUUAGAAAGAAUGUGAAUUGAACACAAGUCUUGAAAAAGUCACUAAACUCGUGAUCUGAUCUACCGUUCUGGACCUUAUAUGACCAUCUACUGAAUUUCUGGCUUUCCACUGAUGACAACAAACACCUUUGUAAGUAAAAUUAACAUAGUGCUCGUACCUUAGAUUUUGAGGUGAGCAAUGCCAGGGACAUCUGCAGCCACAGGACAGGUAAAACACUUCUAUCCUCCUCCAGCAACACAUCAGAAUUCUUGGUAAUUAAGAAAGGCUAGAGAAUACAUAUGUCAGCAGAUCUAUGUGGUUUUGUUUCCACAGGAAUACCUUAUCCUUCAUUUUAUUUUGCCCCUACUAAUUCUUUGCCUCAGCACACAGAAAAAUAACUGCACAACUGCAGUUUCAGAUACAUGUUACAAUCCUGCCUUCUGCUCAGUAUAAAAUAUUUUUACUCACCUCCCAGUGUGCAGUCCAGUGAGAAUAAAAUACAUUGCUAAGAAAUUAUUAAUAUAUGCAACCUUACUUGACUUUCCUUUUAGCUGCUGAAAUAAGAUACUUAAUUUCUUUACAAGUCUGUGUGGAUAGAUGUCUAGAGUUUAUGAACUGUCAAAAGUGUGAUUUAAGGAUAACUAGCAGAGCUGCAAAGCAAACAAGAAGCUGCUCAGCACUGGGUAGUGACAGUGCUUGUUUAAAAUCUGUUUAAGGAUCCACUGUUCCUAUUACGAUGUACAGUGCAUCUGUAGAAUUUUUCUUACAGAACAGGCAUCUCCAGGGCAUUAUUAUCACAAAGUUAUAAAUAAAGUACAGAAAGUUUUCAGUAUAUUUUCAAAACACAUGGUACUAGGAAUAGAUUAAGGAGUUUACUAUUCGUGAUCAAAGACAAUAGCUAAUGCUGCUGUAGUGGUGGUGAACAAAAGCAAAUUUUAAAAUGCUCUAUUAUUUCAUGCUUUAAAAAAAAAAACAAAAACAAACAAAAAAACAACUCAGUAUCAUCUUAGAGGUUAUUUUUUCAAGAACUAAUAAAAAAUACAAUGUAAUUAUUUUAAUACUUAAUUGUCACCCAAUCUGGUAAUGAAGGGAAAUAAAAAGCAUUAAGUCUUUCAGAAACUUUUUCUCCACAUAUUUACUAUCUUUUCUAUAAAUUCAGAAUCUGGUCUGUGCACUAUUUUUGGACUGUAAGCAAUCCACAGAUAAUCUGGUACUAGCAUUCAUGUCUGGAAAUUUAGUAUCUUUUGGCUUGUUUGACUGAACUUGCAUGAUAGUCCUGCUGGAUGUGGGUACUUAACACAUCACUAGUCCUGUUCAAAUAUUAUUCUGCGUGAUUUUUCUCUGACUGUCACUAAAAUUCAUUCUUUCUGUAAGGCUAUGUCGACGGUUUACGGGCUGGUCUGGCCCGGUUCCAUGACUAGUGGGGCGGAGGGAUUUUUUUGCAACAUCCGUGCCUCCGGAAAAGAGAAACAGGGGACCCCCCCCCAAAAAAAAAGAAUAAUUAAAAAAAAAAAAAAAACAGCAGCAACGAUCUGAGGAGAAACAAACUAAUUUACUAAAUACAGUAUUGGAAUGCACGAUAACACACUAUAAUACAAUAUAAUUCAAUGUAAUUGUUAAUAAAAUCAAACAUAAUUGAGAGAAGGAUUGUCCAAGAGCUAAAGGCCUUACACUAAUACUGAAGCCUUGUGUGCAGUCUGGAGCAGCAGCGAGACAAUCCGCAAGCGAGCAUGAGACGAGAAGAAAGGGAAGAGGACUCACUCAGGUCAGGUGACCUACAGGCCUUAUAUCUGUUCCCCUGAGCAGGAAUGGUAACUACUCGAACAGUCUUCUGGGGAACGUAGUUCUUCUCUUCUGGACAAGUACCCAGAACUAGAGCAUUUGCUCUCUAACUCCCAGUACACUGCAUGAUGUUAUGAUGUGGAAUACUGAUAACCAAAAAUCAUAAAACCAUGACAGGCUAUGAUCAUGGAAGAAAAAAAAAAUGGAACAGUAGAUGUCUUAGCAUAUUUUUUUUUUUACUGAUUUGACCAAAUAUUCACACAGAAAUAUUUCUAAGCAUUCGCUAACUGGCAGGCUAACAGUGCCUUUAUAUCCACUAAUACCAUCUCAUGGGACAAGAAUCGUUGCCGGACCUCACCUCCUCCCAGACUCUUCAAUGCUCAUUCUUUUUGAGUGACAGGCCUCUGCCCAUGUGUUACCCACAGCAGAACUCCCAAGAAAAUGCUUCUUUAAACCUGGUGGUGAGUCUACAGCAUCUUGUAUUCUGUAUUCCUGCAUCUAAAACUCCUUCUCAGAAGCACAUCCCUUAAAUUGCUAAAUGGCAGUACAUUUGAUUCUUUCUGGUAUGAAUGCCCUACAGCUACCACUUUUUGUCUGAGCUCUGAAGAGGCAUUUCUGUCUCUAUUAGCAUGGCAAGCCAAACUACAAUUUGUCUCUGCAUGAUGCUUCUCUAUGGUACUACACCACUGCACAACGACUCACAAUCUCUCAAAGAACCAUUUUAAAGAAAACUGCAAAACAUUUGUUCACCUGCAUCUCUCCGUAAAGCUUACCCCUGUGAUAAGCAUCAGAAACGUGCCUGCCUCAGGUGUGCCAAGCAAUAGUGCAGUAUCACAGAUCCAGCACUCAGCGGCCAUCUUUGUGUUUUUCACUUCCCUUUGGAGAUGCUGGUCAGUGAUUUCCUUCCCCUCCCAUUCCUUCCCACACUGGGUUUGCCCUGAGUUUUGACUGUAAAUCUUCAAAAUGGAAAAGCAAGGGUAUAACCUGGAGAUAGGCAAAGUGGGGCAUCCCUAAAUUAACAAUUCUAUUUCCCAUUCCAGAACUCUUAGUAUGUUCUUGGAAAUAUCUCUAAUCACAGUCUGGUUCUCUUCUUCCUUCGUUCAUUGAUUAUUUCAAGCAAAUUCAAGAUGAAAAUAUCAGGCAGUUAAACUGAGAUGUAUAUAAUAUCUAUGAAGAAGAUAUCCCCCCAAGUUCUAAUAAAGUCAGAGACACUUUUCCUGCUGGUUAGGUUCCACUCAGUGUAAGCAAGAAUCAGAAUAUGACCCUGUACUACAGUUGUUAGAGAAACCAAGAGCUGUUUAUCUUAACUACUACAUUAACUAAGCAUGAUUAUUUUUAAUUGAAUGAUUGUUGAAAGCAUUACAGGUGGCAUAAAGGAAUUUUUGUAAGCAGGAACAAAGGAAAAGGACCUGAUCCUUUAGCCACCCCAGGGAGACAGCUGAUGGUGUAUUUGCAGUUUGAGGCCUUAGAAGAGUUCUCAGUGAUGUCCUUAGAGCUUAGCUAACAGAUAAGAGUUUCCUAUAGUUCAUUUCCUAAGCUACUUCCUGCUGGUCUACAGUAUUACAUCCAUCCGUCUCAUCCUCCGGGCUUCUUUGUGUUGUUUUUUCACCUGCCAUACCUAAAGGCACACUACCGACCUCAUUUAAUCCUGAAGAGCAAGGAUGCUAAUUGAGUUGAAAAUGGUAAUGAUGCAUCUAAUUUUCUCAUGUCUGUGUGCUCCCCCUCCUUUCAGAACACCUGACAACACCUGCAUCCCAGAACAAGGGCUUCAACAUGUAUUUUCCUGUGUUGCGCCCAGCUACUCCCUUGACCUAUUAUCUGUGGCAAGUUACAGUGAAUCAAACAUGAUUCCCUCCACAUUUCUCUUCAUUCUGUUUCUGAAUAAGAGCUGAUGUAUGCUCAGGACAUUUUUGUAUUUGCUGCCACAGUUAAAGCAUAAUUAGCUACAUGAAAAAGAAGGGGGAUUAACCACCUCCACUUAGCUGAGACAUUGUCACCUUUAUACUUAAGGCUGCUAUUUGGUUUUUCAGGUAUUUCAAUUGCCAGUCAAGGAGCAGUUUAAGUCUGUAAUAUAAUAAUACUUGCAAUUACUAGUAAAUAACAUUUUACAGCGUUAACUAGCCUGUCCUUACAACAUCCUUUCCAGGCAGGCAAAUAAAUGUUAUUAUCCUCAUUUUACAAACACAUUGAUUAAGUGACUUGCCUAAAGGCCACACAUCAAUUUCAAUGUCAGCGCCAAGAUUAGCACAAAGGAACUUCUGCAUUGCAGUCCCAGGAAAAGGGAAAAAAAAAUAUCUGUAAUAUUAAGUGCAUCCUCCCCUAAAACAAGCAAUCACUUUUCAGACGCUCAGUCUAAAUAGUGUUUACCUGCUUUGCAUCCCCUUAAGUCCUGUGCUCCGCCCACCUGUUAAGUGCUGCUUGUUAAUGACUCAAAAUGGUUCCCAGCCUGCCGCUAGUAGGGGAAGCUUUUCCUUCACUUGCUAGUUUCAUCCCAGUCGCUGGCAGGUGCUGUCUCAAGAACCUGCGAAGCUUCCAGGCUUACAGCUGAACCUGUGCUUAGACAAGUGAGGAAGGCUUGUGCUGCUCCUUGAAGGGCAGCCUCAGUAUGAUCACGGAUUUGAAGCAGCAGCAGUUGCAGCAGGAGCACGAUUAGGAAGAAAUUAGAAUGAUCUUCCACCAUUUAAUAGAUCGUUGGCCUCUCCAACCGAGCACAUUUUCAAUUUCUAGGCUGUGUACAGCCAGCACAGUUGUCUUUCCUAUUGCUGCUGUAGCUACUGUUUGGAAAUUGUGGUAGCUGGAAGGCAGUAUUGGAAAUUGAGCCUUCAGCUCUAAAACACAUUAACAUCUCUAGUCCUCAAUCUCUUGAGCUACUAAGUAAAUUGCCCUAUUUCAAAGCACCUGCUUUUAUAUUUGGAAGGAAUUUUGGUUUUGAUCGUUUGUUUCAGACUGAGGCAUUAUGUCUCUGUUCCUUUCCUGACUGAUGAGCAAUGCAGACCUUACUGCAUACGUGUAUUUUAUGACGUGUGGAAGUAUAGCAAGUAACACUGUAGUACACAAAAAUCUAUUAAACACUGUAGAAUUUCCAACGUUAAAACCCUGCUAUGUUUGCAGGCAGUUAUUGCUUAGGGAAGGGAAAAAAAAAAAACAAAACAAAAAAACCAGCAGCAAUUGCUUGCUCCCCACCCCCCACCAUAACAUAUGUUUCCUACCUGUAAAGACAAAACAGAGAAAGUCACUCCAGCACUUUCAGCAGCUAAUUAAGGCCAUUCAUGUGUUAAGGGUGGCAAUGUUUUCUCCUGACUUAGGCACUGUUUACAAGAUCUUCAUGACUCAACUUCUAAAUGUGACAGAAAACCAAAAUAAUUGUGAAUCUUUUGAACUUCGGUAGCAUUGUUUGUCAGUGGUUUCACAGAUCUGUCAUUAAAGCCUACGGCAUCAUUUGCAAAUCCCUUAAUUUGACCUAGUCAUUGAAACUGAUACUGUGCCAAUGUCUGAAAGCAGAUACAUUGAAAAAUUGUCCAGCAUUUAUGAUAGAUACUGGUAUUUCAGACCAGAGUCCCAGGCAAUUAAUUAUAUUUUUAAUAAGCAUACAUAACAAAGUUAAAUUUAGAAGUAGACUUUGAAAUGGUUGCCAAGUUUUUAACUGAAGGUCAUUUGUACUUUUUUAUUUUUAUCCCAGGUGGAGAGAGUAUGCAUGUCUAGAUACUCAAACGAAAUGUGUAGACUUAAGUACAAAAUACCUCAAAUAUUAGCCACAUUAAUUACACGUUUUUUUCUUUCCCUUUGAGAGAUCAUUUCUUGCAUUAAAAGAACAAUGCUCAAUUGAUUGCUUGCAAACCAUCUAUAGAUUGCAGUAUCAGACACAUUCAUCAGGUUUACGCCUGUCAAAUUUUUAUGUUUGUUUUCAAAUUUUUAACAGCAAAAAAUAAAACAUAUUUAUAAAUAAAUGCUUAACUGUGUUUGUGUUUUUGGCAGUGUAUUGGCUUGGCUUCUACGCAUCUCUGUCAUCCUUACUCUUCCAUAUCAAACUGUGUCACUUAAAGAGACACAUUAAACCGUAAUAGAGGGGUACUCUUGCUGGUGAAAGAGCAAAUCGUGGCUUCAUGGCCAUAGAUGUGAUUGAGUUCUGAAGCCUGAUAAAUAUUUUAUCAUGACACAAUUUCAGAUGCUCAAGGGCUUCACAAUUUUAAUUGUGUUUUAAUUAUAGCACCUCCGUUCAAUUAUGUUCUCUGCCUACUUCAGAUAUAAGUACUUCAGUGUUUUAAAUGGUAUUUUGGCAAAACUCACCUGCAAGGCUGCUGCAAUAUUCGGGGUGUGUCCUGUAACCUUCAGCAGUAGUUUUGUAUGUAGUUUUACACACAAAUAUAUAAUCAAGAAUAAAAGAUGAGGAAGUACUACGAAAAGCAUUAAAAUAACAGAAGAUCAUGUGUUAGCAUGAAAAUGGCAUGUUUUUCUUCUAUUUAGCUUUGCAUUCUGCAGUACAAGUAGUACUAGUGUUUUGUGAGGCAUGUUAUGCUGCACAGCAUGAACUUCAUUUGUGAUUCCUUAAGUACUACCAUGAACACGACUAUUGAAGAAAAUAAGUUUUCUUAUAGUUACUUUUGUUCUGUAAUUUGUAUUACUGCACUUCUCUUAAACUCUAUAGCACCUCAUUGCUAAAAUUAAUUAAUUAAUUAAGAAUUAAUUUUGAGUAGGCACUUGGAUUCCAGUCUGCUAAGGGCUUAGAUCCAUGCUUAUCUUCUCAAACUCUUAACACUCUCACUGCUUUUUUUUUUUUUUUUUUUUUUUUUUUGCAUUUAUGUCUAAGAGCUAGCUUAAAACCGUACUACAUCAAUAAGACUUAAACAUUUUAUAAUGUUUUUCGCUCAAUUUUGGUACUCAGAUGUUCACUGACAAUUCAUCUCUUUCAUUCACUUCCAAAAUCUACUCCUGAUUUUAAUCAGUAUAUAACGUCAGUGUGUAAUGGAAUGUUCAGGUGUGCUUUCAAAACAAGUUAAAAUUACCUAGUGAAAGCCUUAUUUACAUUUUCAGAAGCUCUUACAAAUAAAAUUAUUUGUGUUUGUUCAGAAGUGCAAGAACUAUGGGUGAAACUGUCUUUGUUUCUGGUGCAAAAAGUCAGGCUAGAUGAUCAAAACACUCCCUUGUGGCCUUAAAAAUCUCUGAUGUGUUUUAAAGCUUACAAUUGCCACAUCAGAUCAGUGAAAUGUUAUCUUUGUUUCCAAAGAACAAGCCUCUGUGAUCAUUACUGCUCUGUUGGCUGAUCAUUUUAAAUUAACAUAGCACAAAACAAUUCAAAAAAAUCAAUUCAUAUUCUUAUCUCCAGAGUUACAGUUUUAAAUGUGGGAAAAAAAAUGGAGUCAGAAAAUGGGAUUUGCAUGAAUAAAAUGCCUUAUACCUCCCAACCACCUCCUCUAUUAUCUCAUGGUGCUUUUCAAAUAAAUGAUUCCAUGUAACUCAGAACUUCUAAAGGGAUUUGAAGGUUAUUGCAUUCCAUUCACUUCCAAGUAGAUUGGAUACUAAAAAUAAAAAGUAAUGACAGAGCUUACCUUUCCUGACUCUGGAACUGAAAUGGUAAAUAUUUAAUAAGGGAAACUCACUUUCCCAAAGUUUUGUUCAUCUCUGUCUUUCUCGCUAAUAAAAAAGCAAAAUGAGUUUCUAAGCAUAUAGCUAUUCUGAUACUAUACUCAUGGAUGAUCAUCUUUCUAUUGGACAAAUGCAAAAUCCCUGUCCUGCAUAAACGUGAGGAUUUUUUACUGAUGAGAAUAGCUCCAAUAAAGACAAUAAAGACAACUGAAAAUCCCAUGGGCAUAUAAGAUACAAUACCAUAACUAACUUGACCUGUUUUUAUCUACCUUACUAAAUGUCUUGGUAUCACUGAAACAUCUGCAAACGUCUUAUAUAGGUAAUACCAUAUAUUUUAAAAUGUAUGAUAUAUACAUCCGUGAUUAUUUCUAAGUAUGCUUCAAGUACACUUGAAAGUAGUGCACACAGUGGAGCAUUUCUGCUUUAGUCCAGUUUUCAAAUAUAGAAAAAUACAAAGGCAUCUAAGUUCUUCCUUUUCAAGAUCUAAAUAACUGAAUAUAAUUUGUUUCUAAUUUUGAUUGUUAUAAGACAUUUACCUAGAAGAAAACUAUUAUAACAAAUCAUAAUGUUUUGUGUGUUGCUCAAUGAACAAAAGAAUCUUUCUACUAGGGGCCAUCAUCCCAAUGAGACUCUAUAGCUCCUUUCGAAAAUCUCUCCAAUUUGCAUAGCAUUAUUAGCAUAAUGUAUUUGGCUCACAUAAAGAGAUAAAUAUGGGUGUGCCAGGAAGACUUCAUCAAAUAUGAAGUGAGUAUGAACAAAAACACCAAGCUGGAGAUCUCAGCUCCCUCUCAACUCAUCUUCCCAUGCAGGCUCUCACUCAGAUCAUUGAUCUCUCUCUCAGUGCUUUCGAUGACCCCUGAUCUUUCUUUUUUUCUUUUCUUAGCCUUAAAAGUGAAAACAUUGUUUUGAAGAAAAUAGCUGGAAUAGGAAAAGUAUUUUUAUCAAGUUAUCUCUACAUCUCCAAGCAAGUAAUACUGUGCCUCAUUAUGUCUAUGUGCAAAACGAGGAAAAAAAAAAAAAAAAAAAACCAAAAAACACUAGAAUGACUUUUAGGAGACCAAGGAGAAAAUUCAAUCCCUCUUUCCCCCAGUGUUGCUUGAUUUGCCCCAUCUCCUGGACCAACUUUCAAAUAGAGAUGUUCCUAGAACUUAUCCUGGAAUGCAUUGUUCUUAUGAGGGAAGUCUUUAAAAUACAUUCUAAAGAACGCACUGUGUCUUCCGGAAGUCUUCUGGAGAGCAGAUAAACUGAAGACAUCCAUCAGAUGUGAAACACAAAUAGUUACACUCCAACUUCCACAACAGAUUCAAUCUAAAAAAGAGAAGAGAGACUUCCUAAAGUCACAGGAAUCGCAAGGAAAAUGCCUUUAUCAUCACAACAAGGCUCAAAAGUCUAAGCAAGCUAAUCCAAGCCCAAAAUAUGUCGUAAUCUGUGGUAAAUAAUCUUGAAUAAGUACAAGAUAAAGACAGACAUAUUGAAAGCACUGUAUGCAUUUUUGUUACCAAUAGGAAAAGAAUGUAAUUUCAACAUGGGUUACACUUUUACUUCUGAAUGUUAUUCUCCCCCAUAUCGUGAACAAGAAUGGAGAUUAAAAAAUAGAAGUCACUCACAAUAUCAUAAAUAAAGUGUGAUAGUUUGUUAAUUUGUGUGUAGUAUAAGUGAAUGCAUGUAAAAAGAACUAGAGAUUAAAAUUCAUCCUUUUGCAGUGUGAAACUGGUGGCAGACUUUGAAAACAAUUUACUUCAGUAAUAAAUAACAAACCAGACAUUACCAUGGCAACAAUAAUAUUGGAGAUGCAGUACUUUAUGAAAUUGUUGGGUUAAAUGAACUUUUGUAAAACUCACUUGGUUUGAAAGUUUUCUCAUUACUUAAUUUUCUCUAAAAAACUUUAAAACAAGUGAAAAUGUGAAUACAGCUACUUUUUUAUACAGGUAAGGCUACAAGCUUCUUAAGGUGUAUGCCUAUAAAUCCAAAUUCUAACACUCACCUCAUUAUUUGUAUUGAUGAGGCAGAAUUCAGCUGGAUGUGGCAGUAGUCCCAGAGGACUUUAUUUCCAGACCACUGGCUAUAAAAACUAGCAGUACUCACAAAGUAGUGGAAUUUAACCACCCUGAUCUGACACAAAACAUUGGCUCAGGAUGGUCCUUGAUAUACUCCAAACUUGUAAGAGGUCUGAAAUGUACAGCAACAGGAAGACUGAAGGCCAUUCUGACCUAUCACCCUUGGUAAGAGCAGUCCUGUAGUUUCAAAACACUACCACCAUCCUUGCCACUAGAGUUAUAGCCAGAGUAACAUCUUUGACUUGGUCUUCUCUGUGUCUCAGCCUGACUGUUAUUCUUCUGGUUCACAUUUCUAGUUACAUCACUGCAUCUGAGCUGACUCCCUAGAAACUACAGAUAGAUGGAGCUAGAUAGUGUACCUGGGCAUCUCAAUUGGCACUCACUGUCUAAGUUUUAGCAAUGAAGUCUCAUGCCUGUUUUGCAGAAAUGGGCAAACACCAUUUUGACCAUUAUCACUUCACUGGUUUUGUUUUCAAUUUUGUUAAUUUACUGAUUCAUACCUCUUGGGUUACCCAACUUACCUUCCUAUGUCUUAACUGCUCUGUGGAUGUCACUUGCUGUAGCAGCACUGGUCUACAAGCACAUAGAAUUUGCUUGAUUCAGGUACCAUCAUGUAGCCUCUUUCAGUAGAGAAGGGUAUGCUUCUCAAGACAAUGAAUCCAGUAUCAUGGUCCCAGUGUCUUGUUUGCAUACAAACUUAACUAGACUGUGGGCCUAGAUGCAUGAUUGGACUUCAGUGAUUUGUUACCUUAUAUAUAAACUAUAAAAGGAAUUCACAACUUAAAGAAUUUAAUAGAAUGGAUAACAUGCAAUAAACAGCCACUCAUAAAGAAUCAGUGGAUUCUUGAUACUAGGAUUCUAUCUACAUCCAAUCUAAAUUGUCAAGAGAAUUGUAACUGGCAUCUAAAUGACAGAGAUACAGUUCUGAGAAUUAUGAGAGUGAACAAAAUAAAAGGAGAAAAAGCACAGUUUAAAAAAAGAACGUGCAUAAUCCUGGUAACAGAAUUAGGUUUUUGGCGAGAAGUCAGUAGGCUGAAUUUAAAUGUUAAUUUUGAUCUGUAGAGCAGAAUGUGCUUGAUAAUAAAGGUUAGAUUUUAUUUUAUUUUUUUAGUAAGUAUCCUAUCACACAGUGAGAUUUAUAUCCUAAUUAGUUUAUAACCCUGUAGCUAGUCCAUCUUACAAACAAUUAGCUGAGAGAUUUUCUUAGUCUAGUGUUUCAUAUGAGUGCAAUAAUUUCUGUUUUCUUCCUCCUGUCCUCUUCAUUGCUUUCCCCUCUUGUUAAUAGCCUUGGGAAAAAAAAAGAAAAAAGAAAAAAGAAAAAAAACCACAGGGAUCUCCUGGAAAGAGUCCAGCAUAGGGCCACAAAGAUGAUAAAGGCCAUAGAGCACCUCUCUUAUGAGGAAAGGAUGAAUCACCUGGGUCUGUUCAGCUCUGAAAAAAGACUGAGAGGGGAUCUUAUUAAUAUUUAUAAAUAUCUUAAGUGUGGGAGUCAAAGCAACAUGACAAACCAGUUUUCAGCGGUCUGUGACGAGGAGAAAUGGCCAUAAACUGGAGUAUAGGAAGUUCUACACCAAUAUGCAAAGGACUUCUUCACACUAAGGGUGAUGGAGAACUGGAACAGGCUGCCCAGGGAGGUUGUAGAUUCUCCUUCUCUGGAGAUAAUCAAGACCUGCCUGGACGCCUACCUGUAUAGGGGACCUAGUCUGCUGUAGGGGGCCUGCUUUGCAGCAGGAUUGGACUUGAUGAUCUCUGGAGGUCCCUUUCAACUCUUGCAAUUCUGUGAUUCCAUGGAAAGCAAAACCUAAAGGGUAAAAACAACCCAAGCUGUAGAUGAUAUUAAAGAAUACAACUUAUAACAUCGUAGCUUUUUCCUAUGAAACAAGUUAGGACCAUUAUUUCUCAGAUUACAACAUCUCUGAUUGAUGUAUGUAUAAGAACAUUUUGUGCAGAUAACAGUAUAAAGUUUAUACAGCUAAUAGUGGAAAAAUCGGAUUCAAUACUUUGUGUCUGAGACGUGAAGAAUAGCUUCAUAUUCUUUAAGUUCCAUUCUUUGAGCUAAAUUAAUCACUUCUACUGUUCUGUCAUCAAUUGUCCACUGAUAUUUGAAAAUCACAGAGCCUACAUUUUAAAGCUAUUGUACUGUACAUGUUGUACAACAGCUGUUAGACAUCAUUUAAAGAGGAAAACAUUUCUGCAAACACAUAUAAGACAUCAGGAAAUAAACUUACAGAAGCAAUUCCUUUAGGCUAAAACCUGACAUAAGGAAAUAAACUAAUGCACACUAAAAUAGAUUUAAUAAGCAUUUCAAUCGGAACAUAUAUAGCCUUCUUUCUUAAGAUGAGAGCAAGAAUACUGAUCUUGGUAGAAUAAGCCAAGUAAGAAGACAAAUGCUUUGACCAUAGCAGAUUCAAAUGAGGAUAUACAGUAUAUUGGUUGCGUGCCAAUUGCUGAUGUUCUAAACAAAGUCUAAGUACAAAGCAUUCAUAACCUUUCACAGUCAAGUUAGCAAUUUAAUUUGUGUUCAAAACUGACUUUGGCAUCAUCAGGAAUACACACUCACAAAUCAAGUGUUUUAAAAAUGGAUUGUUCUGAUAAAGAGAAAAAAAAUGAGUUUAUAAAAGGGAAUUAACAAAAUCAUGAAAGUAUAUUUAAAACUACUGAUAAUUAUUUAAAUACAUUUCAGGGCAGAGAUAACAGCAAAACUUGGCCAUGCUUGCUGAUUCAAGGAAUAAAAUGAAGUACAUUUUCUGUAAUUACAUUUUCUUAGAAUCAUAGAAUCGUUAAGGUUGGAAAAGACCCACAGGUUCAUCCAGUCCAACCAUUCGCCCUUCACCAAUGGUUCUCGCUAAACCAUGUCCCUCAACACAACAUCCAAACGCUCUUUGAACACCACCAGGCUCGGUGACUCCACCACCUCCCUGGGCAGCCCAUUCCAGUGCCUGACCACCCUUUCAGAGAAGUAGUUCUUCCUAACGUCCAGCCUGAAUCUUCCCUGGCGCAGCUUGAAGCCAUUCCCUCUAGUCCUAUCACUAGUCACACGAGAGAAGAGGCUGACCCCCAGCUCACUACAACCUCCCUUCAGGUAGUUACAGAGAGCAAUAAGGUCUCCCCUGAGCCUCCUCUUCUCUGGACUGAACAAUCCCA
rnacentral:lncRNA from 1 species